rnacentral:lncRNA from 1 species
GCAGGUGGAGAAGGAGUCCUGCUUGUUCUCAGCCUUCCUUUUUUCCUCCAGUCUGGGAUGUAGAUGAGAUGGUUGAAGCUCCAGCAGUCAUGGUGGAUCAUGAGGACACUCUGAGGAUGGAAACAAUGUGCUUGGAGGUUGAGUAAGAAAGACAGAAGGAGCUUGGAUCCCUGCUGACUGUAGAACUCUCCCUCACAGCCUGAAAGUACCUCCUUCCAGCCUUUUUUCACAUGAGAGAAAUGAACCUCUAACUUGUUUAAUCUGGAUUAUUCUGGGCUUUCUGUUGUGUGCAGUGGAACCCAAUCUUCAUCGAGUUCCCCUUCCCAAGAGUUCUGUCAUUUUUCCUGCAUUCUUUUUAGAUUUCAUAGCAUUUACUCUUUCCGAUAGAUGUGAAAAUUCUUUGAAAAGUUAACAUCUUGAAUAAUGAAAGAUAGCCUGUGCAACCCACGCAGAAGUAGGAGCUUUAAGCAAAGUUUUGUAGAGAGGACUGCAGAAUUUCUCUGUGUGUCUCGCUGGGACCUCAGAAUUUUUACCAGAAAAGGCAGGAGGGGACUGCCUGGUUUAAGCAUCUCUCCCUAACUGUGGUUUGGAAAAGUUUUUUUAAUUUGAGAAUUUAAACAGUCAAUACAAGGAUUAUUCCAACCUGGUUGAUCCAUGCUCUGAAAUGAGAACUCCCAUAGUUUAUCAUCUCUAAGAUACUAAAAUGCACAAUAUUUUAAAUCAAGGAAGGAAAAAUUCUGCCAGCUAUAAUUGUAAGAUGCAUCCUGAUUCCAGAAAUGUUAAAUGUGAAGAGGUUGCUUUUUUAGAUCAAUGAAGUAUGGUACAUAUAGUUAACCAAACAGUUAACUUAAGCAUCAUUAUCCACAAGCAGCCAGAGACAUACUACAUAGAAUUGUGCUGUUAACUUUCUGUUCUGCUCUUGCCAAGAAAUAGGUGAGAACUUUCUGUAUCCCAAGCAGAUUUUGUUCCACAAAAAGGAAACGGAGGUCUGGAGAAAUGAUGCAGGUUGGUGGCAAACCCAAGAUUCACCUGGAAAAAAUUCCAUUCUCCUCAAAAUGUGGCUAUCAAGGCCUAAGAUGAUCUUGGAAGCUGCAGGCUGAAGAUGGCAGGGCCUGAGUCCCUGAGCUACUGUGUGGAGUAGAGCCCCACCUCCUGCUGACCAGGAAUAUAGGCACUGGUGGUUACAUAAGUAAGGAAUCAACUUCUGAUACGUACAGUCGCUGAGAUUUGGGGGUUUAUGUGUUACGGCUGCUGAUGUUACCUUAAUUUCUAUUUUGAACCCUGUAGUGGGCUGAAUUAUGUUCCUGCCAAGAACUAUGUCUAAGUCCUCAUCCCCAGUACG